UCUCAUUCCGCAAAUCAUUUGGUUAGAAAUAUUAGUAACCGGGGAUGGCUGUAUAUUGGCCAUCACAGUGGCAAGUUGUAAAAAUGCACCAUAGGCACGGAAAUGUAGGCUCUUUGCAAACUCAAACGGUAAUUGGAAUUCUGAGCUAGUGCCCGGCCGUAAAUCAGUACCUUGCAGCUGUCACUGGGAGUAAAAAGUCUGCCUCUUGACUGAGCAGGGACCCGAAGCCCAUUCCAGGGAACGUUUCCUUAUACAGCUGUCAGCCUCACCACGUGCAAGGAGAGGGCUCAGUUUCACAUCAAGCCCACGCCCCCUCACCGCCGAGGGGAAUGCCUGGCAGAGCUGGAAAGGGCAGAGCUCUUUCCAUCAAAUAGGAAACCUGACUGACAGAGGCACAGCUUAGUAGGGUACCCCAAGGAUCACAUUUCUUGUUACAGCCUGCCUUUAUUUUAUUAUUAUUCUCUGACUCCCAGAUGCAAGGAGGCCCAGGGAUGGAAUGAAAGUGAAAGUUAUAGGUCCCUGAGCAGACUACAGUCCUACCUGCUCUGAAUAGCAUGUUUCAGGUGAUUUGAUUCUAUUCCUUUCUCUGGUCCGCAGAGUUUGAUAACUCAUCACAGCCCCUGACUUGGUAAAAAAUAAAUAAAUAAAUAGAAAGAAAAAAAGAAAAAAAAAUCACACAUAUAGCAAAGACUAAUUCCAGAAUUCAUGUGGGGCUUGCAGUGUUACUUUGUUUGCAAAUGGAAACCAAGUCUGUUCCUUGAGUCUUGCAGACACUCACCACCCUCCAGUCUAUUGUGUCUGUUCACCAGAUCCCAAGAGCUCUUCAGGAGUACACAGAGGUUCAAGCUAGGGCUCAGCAGCCGACCUGGUGACCACGUAGAUCCUGCUUCCCCAUCCCCAACUGAACCUGGGGUUCAAUUUCCACGUCAUGGAAGAUGCCAAAUCAGGCAUGUUCUGGUUAUCAUUUAUUAAGGCAUUUGUAUGAAGGGCCUUGCCAUUGCAUGGGCAAAGGAGAAAACAAAAUAUAAAAUCACACUAAAUUGAGGACCCUUAAGUUGGACUAGUGUGGGCCAGUCCAUAUAUAUAUAUGCUCUUCCUUUGCAAAAAUCAAAACAACCUUCUAACUAUCCUUUGAAGAAGGAUACGGAGUUCGUGCCUGAAAGCACGCAGCCCUUCAUCACUCACUGAAGGACCCAGACCCUUUUGUCUGGUCUCUAACUGAUGAGCCAGACAGAACCAUAGCUUCUUUCUGCAGGCUGACUUACAUUUCAGAUUUUAGGCAACUCUUCAAAAAAACAGGCUAUGGCACUCAAGAGCCUCAAGGUUUGGGUCUCCUGUGACACCCCCCAGGAAACAAAUGGCUUUUACAUACAGAGCCAUUUGGAACCUUAAGUUCCAGGGCUAAGUACCUGGGGGUCGUGAAGUGCCCUGGCAGAGACUUGACCACCUGUGUAACAACAGAAAACCUCAAGAGGCCGAGGGGGAUGAGAAGCCAGGAAGUCUCACACCUGAGAGAGUGCUACUCAGCCAUGGAAAGAGAGCUAGAAUCACCAGCCAGCCCCACAUAGGCUUUGCACCAAAAAGCUGAAUGCCUUUGGUUCACAGCAGAGGGCACACUGUUCUCAAAAGGGAGAAAUACCUAUUUUGGCUAAAUCUCUGAAACCUGGGGAAGUUCAAGAACUCUAGAGAUAACAAGAUAUUCCAAGAAGGUAAGCCUUUUUUUUUUUUUAAGUCUUUCUUUCCUUUUACAUGGCUCCAGGCUUUAAAAAUAAAUAAAUAGAAAAAGGGAAGUUGCUUCUCUAGAGCGUAGCCUCUCUCUACCCCAAGUUCCCACGUGGCCAGUAGUGGCCAACGAGGACCUCUAAAGGAACUCAAAGAAAGUGAACAAAUAAACUCAACCCAGGAGUCAACACAGAAUCAGAGACAUCCAAAGACAUUCAAGAGUCAACAACCUGCCUGACACUAAUUCCCUAUUUAAAGCAAGAACACAUCAGUCAGAGGCAGAGAGGUAGCCAACCAUGGAAGCAGACAAAAAUCGGAGUCUAAGAAGCCACCCAGCUCCGCCCAAGGGAGUACAAGCCCCACCGCCAAUUCAUGCCUCCACAUGCCAUUGCCAAGUGUGACGUUCUCAUGCAGGAUGGAGGAGUCAGGCUCCCCUCACAGGACACCUCUGGACACUAAUUCCACUGGCUAGCUCUCCUCACUGUGAUUCCUUGUUUACCUCGCACUCUCCUGCUUACCACCAAGCUUGCCUUGAAGUUUGCUAUACAGAGGAAAUCUGCUCGUCAAAGAGUGCCAGUGGUCUGGCACUUACACGUCUCACAGUAAAUCAUCAACUUGGCAUCUUACUAGAAGCCUGCCAAUUGCACCUAUCCCUGGGAGGUAGCCCUGCUCUGCUGGAGCUGCCAGUCUGUCUUUUGAGCCUGUUUUCAGAUGUACUGAAUUACUAAAGGAAGCCAGCUUCAUUAAUGCUAAAGUUCAAUGGGACAAGGAGCAGACCCUUCAUAGGUACCCUCACCAACCUAACAAGGCAACCGUCUAACACCUGCCCCUGAGGCCCUCCAGUCCAGAUACCAUGUUCUACCACUUGGCUGGACAAAGACCUUCAGCCUCCAGCUGGGCUUCUGCUCUCCCUUCUGGAACCCACCUCAAUCCAUUGCAGGUUCUGGUUCCUCCUUGAUCUGUCUUGCUGGAUAUCACUAGCCCACCCAUGCUCUGCCAGAACAUGACUAUGAGGGCUGGGAUCAUGCUCUUUAUUCAACUCACUCAACAAACUUCUUGGGGGAAAGAAGAGCGGGAGGAGAAUGAUUCUCCCCCAAGACUUGGGGGUUGGCGGGCGGGGGUGGGGGGGAAGGUGUGUGUCAGGCAAUUUUUUUGCAUGUUAAUCUCAAUUUUUAUGUAGACAUUAUCAGCCAGUGAGUCCUCACUGGAGGAACCACCAAUGUGUUUUUCACCAGGGCCUGAACCCACUCUUAGAAGACCCUGUGAAGAGUUAUGCCAUGCCAGCACAUCAUGCCCUCCACUUUGGCCCCAGUGCCAGCCCAUUACAGGCAAAGAAGGGGAUCCCAAGGACUGUGACUAUGAGCCACUGUGAAAGUGUAUGGGAAAGGAGGAAAGGCUGAAGUUUUUAUCAUUUUUUUUCCAGUAGACAAACAUUUACCACCACCCCCACCUUUGGACAACGCAUGACUGUGCCAUCAGUCAUAAGAAUAAGCUGAGUGACUACGUUGGGGGAAUUUUAUAAAUCCACAGAAGCCGGAAGCAGUGUUAUCAGGAGUACCCUUUGUCCAACAUCUUCAGCAGAUUUUCACAUGUCCUGGAAGGACAUAUCUCCUCUACAAUUCUCAAUCCUCAGUUUCCUGCGACAUAAAAUGGGGAUAAUAGUGUAACCCCCAUACUACAUGCCAGCAUAAGCUCUCUUUUCCCUAGGACUGUUAUGAGGAGGAAACAUCUUUAAAUGCGCAAAUUAUUUGGCACCAAAAACAAAAGUGUUCCCCAAAAUUAGUAAGUCUGAGAAAUGCCAAUUAUUUUGGAAGGGCAGAGCCACUGAUUUAGCGGCAAAUCUUCAGUCUUCUGGGAAGACUUCAUCUCCAGUUCUGCCACCACUUCUUGGCUAUUUAAUAUGGCACAAGUCUGGUAUUUCAUGGUGUUCCACUGCAAAAUGAGAGAACACAUCUACUUUGGAGGGAAUUAUGCAUUGUAAAUGAGAUGACACUUGUCACCAUGAAACUUCAGAUAGCUUGUGCUCAGGUACAACUGAGGCCCUUUGUCUUUCACACAGCAGGAUUUCCUUAUUUAAAUACUGUACCAGUAAGACCAGAAAGACACAAGCUGCCCAAGAUCAGGGGGGCAUCCCAGGCUGGUAUCAGCUGGUACCAGCACCAGCAUGCUGUCCAUAUAUCACAGUGUGCUGCAUGGACUGUGAAGCCACCGGAGUUAUUUCCAAAAAAAGAAAAAGAAAAAAAAGAAAAGAAAAAGGAAAAAGAAAGAAAAACAAAACAAAAAUAUGUCAGCUUCACUCACCAGCAGAUUGACACAUUCCUCCUUAGGGAGCACACACCUAGUUUUGGGGUUUUUUUUGUAUUUUAUAUUCCAUAAAAUUUCAUAAAAUCACUUCAGGGCAUAAAUGCUGAUUACAAAGCACCUUAACUGAAAUAUAUUUUAAUGGCCCACAACAUUUUCCAGAACACACACACACACACAAACAUAACUACAUCAAAUAUAAAAUGCCCAUCUGAAAGGCCACAAAUUUCACAUAAAUAUAGACAGGAGUUAGAAAAGAACAGAAGAGAACACAAAUCAUCGUUUUUUGCUCAAGGACAUUAGAUAUUUACGUUUGAAAAGACUAAGAAAGAUCAAAUUUUUAACUUUUCAGAGGUAACACUCAGACUGCUGACCAUCUUAUCUUCCACCUCCAAACCACCUCCUUGUCAAGGCAGAAGUAAGAUUUAAACCACUUUCGAAAUGGCAAAGUCCUCCUCCUUCAGGACAGAGAACAAAACCAGUUUCCUUUCAGCCGGCGCACAACAUGUGCAAUUGGUAAAGCUUUUGAGACAAAGUUCUAAGGAUUUUACAAAGCACUUAGGGAACGAAUAGCCUUGUUUCACCUUGGUCCAAAAAUCUGACUCUUAGAAUUGAAAGAGACAUUCACCAUCAUCCAACCCAGGAUGCUUUCACACUGAAUUUUGGCUGCAAAAGCCUUAUUCAAAGGAAACCCUCCGGGAGCCCUAACCUGUAAGGAAGCUGCAAGUAGGCUUGUCCAGGAAGAAGUGGGAAGGCAGAACCCGGCUCAGUCUACCCCCAUCCAUUUCCCAGCAGAAAGCACCCUAAGCUCAUCUCCAGAAGCUUGGGGCUCAUGGAAAUACAGUUGGAAAAUGAGUGAGCACCCCAACCCUCACACAACAGAAGAAGGACACUGAGGCCAAAAAAGCUGACAAGUAGCAACAGUCCAUUGGGCAAAUGGAGGAGGCCUGGCCCAACAUUAGAGGGGCUCAAAACAGCCACUUCCUGGCCUCCAAGCAGCUGGAGUGACUCUAUCACCCAUUUGAGGCCAAUAAGACAUCAGAAGAAAUCUGCUAACAGUCGCUUUUCUGAUGAAAGAGACAAAGUAAGAAGAGAACUACUGGUGUUUCUUUUUCCUCCUUAUUCUUGUUAAGCCUGUGAGGACAUGACGCCAUCUUCACAUUAUGAAGUGCAAGCAGAAGACAAAAGGCCAACAUGCUGAGUACGGAUGAGCAAAAGAGGAGAAAAGAGCUUGAGCUAUUUAAUGAAUCUGAAGCCACUUGACCUGACUUUGGUUAAGUAAACAAUAAAUGUCCUUAUAGUAAAAGGCACUAUUCAUCAAGUCUUCUGCUCUUGUAUCCUAUCGAAUCCACUUCUCCAGUUACUUCAGAAUCAAUGCGCUGCACCUUAAGUGGCAUCUGCAUUUCUCCACAAAUUACCUCUAUGUUCUAUUUCCAAACUAAAGUCACGUGGAAAGUUAAAAAGCAAGGAGGAAUGGUACAGCCAUCUAGGAAGACAGUUUGGUGCUUUCUUACAAAGCUAAACACUUAGUCUUACCAUACAACCCAGCAAUUGUGCUGGAGGUAUAAAGGCAUGAAAUGACGUGGAUGAGUCUUAAAGGCGUAAUUCUAAGUGAAGGAGGCCAGUCUGAAAAGGCUAUAGACUAUUUGAUUUCAACUAUGUGACAUGCUGGAAAAGACAAAACUAUAGGAACAAUAAAAAGAUCAGAUCAGAGGUCGCCAGAGGUUUGGAGGCUGGGGGGAGCAGGCGUGAGGAUGGGAGCAGUAAGGAACAGGAGAAGACAGGAGAUUUGGGGGGCAGUGAAACGAUUCUGUACGAGACUAUAAUGGUGGAUACGUGACAUUAUGCACUUGUCAAGACCCAUGGAACCGUGCAAAUCGAAGACUAAAUCUUAAUGUAAACUAUAGAUAUAGUGAAUAAUAAUGUAUAAAUAUUGAUUCGUUAAUUUUUUUCAAUGUACCACACUAAUACAACAUGUUGAUGACAGGAAAAGCCGUACAGAAAAGGGAAUGUAUAUUGGAACUCUCUGUCCUAUCUGCUCAACUUUUCUGUAAAUCUAAAACUGUUCUAAAAAAAAUAAAGUCUAUUAAUAGAAAAAAAAAGAAAAAGAAAAAGGGAGGAGGGGAUGGGAGGGAAAAAAAUCCCUCAUAUUGUAAGUUUUCUUGUCAAAUCAGUACAGAAACUCACUCGAUGUAAAGAGGGCAUGGAAAGGUUUGAACCAGCACCUUCUGUCCUCUUUUCCACAAACCACCUCCCCCUAAUCCUACCAAGAGAGACCCAUGACCUGCACCCUAAGCGGGUCCUCUCUUUCAUCUUCCAAUUACUCCACGUGCUGCAGGAUGCUCCUGCACAUGCCCAGUGCUCUCCAGCAGGACAUGCCAGUAUUUCCAGUGGUGCUCAUGCUCUCUGCUCAUCUCCGUUUUCCAGGGCAUCCCCAGGGUUCCCAUGUCAUUUUUACCUGCAACAAUGACAUCUCUGGGGGGAAAGAAAGCAUCCUUCAAAUGCUUCUCUGCAUUAAUGGAAGUAACAAUCUAGUAAAUAAUAAAUCCCUCAGGCCCUCCAGGGAACCCCUUUCCACAGGGGUUCUCCUUUACCCAAGUUGAAAGCAAUGUUCAAAUGCUCCCCAGCUGCAGAGCCCAGAACUCGAACCACUGUUGAGAUGUAACUUCUCUGUGGAAAUGGAGCAGUUUCUGAAUUCAGUAAUAAAAAAAAAAAUGGGGCAGGGGGGUGGGGUGGGGAGUCUCACACUCCAGUCCCAAAUGUUUCCUGGAUAUUUUCUUCCAUGGUUUGCUCUGGGGGUCUGGAAGGCAGCCUUCAAAUCUUAGUUCUAAAUAGACUGAGGUUGUAGCUGGAUAAUUGUUACUUGAUGACAAAAUAAAAUCUCUAGUUAAAAAAAAAAAAAUCAGUGAUUGCUUGGCUCAAAUCUCUUUCCCUCUUUUUUUCCCCCCCCCUUUUCUGAAUAAAAUGCAAGUGGGCACAUGAUCAGUGUCCUCACUAAAAGUGUGGACUCUAUGAAACUGGCUGGAAGAAGGCAUUUGCUGAGCAACAUUCCCUGGAAAGAAGUCACCAUGGCUAGAUCAAUGAAGUACUGGCAAUGGGGACCACCAACUGGGGACUAAAAUACUUGUGUUAGGUAGCAUAAUGGGUGAUAAGAUUUUAUCUGAAUGAAGUAUUCCCAGGAGCAGGGCAUGGGUGUUUUCAAUACAUUCAGACCAAACAACAAGAAUGAAUUAUAAAUAACAAUUCUCCCCCAAAAGGUCAGGCUUUUUCACAACUCCUAGCCUUUGCCCAUACUAUUCCCUCUGCCUGGAACACUCAGCUCCAGCCUCAGCCCCACCCCUGGUCUCAUCUGUAUCGCAUUCACAUUCAUUAUUCAGGGUACAGCGAGAAACUUGUAACUUUAGCAAAGUGGUUAUCCCAAAGUUCCUCCCCUCUGCCCAGUAUCACAUGGUAUCUAUCACAUUUCACAGUGACUAUCUGUUUGUGCAUCUUUAUCUCCACUUGACAAAAAACUCCCAAGAUAAGGCCUCCCCCUUAUCUGUCUUUCUAGCUCUUGGACCUGGGACAGCACACUGCCCACAGUAGGUCAUCAACAGAUGCCUACUCAAAACAAGAGUCACAGAAGAAAUAAACACACAAAUGGACUUUAUGGCAUCCUCCAUGUGGUAGCUUUAAAAAGUGUUAUUACCAGAGUCUCUUUCAGCAAGAAAUAUUUUUCAGUUUGACAAAAUAUUAACAUGCAUUUAUGUGCAUCAUUUAGCAUAAAAAUAAGCCCACAAAGUUUAACUCUAGGGAAAGCUUGAUUAUCUGCAGUUAUUCUUCCAAAUCACAAAGUAAAACAAAUACAUUUCCAUGCUGCUUUGACUGACACAAAUAUCUGUGAUGCAAUGAAUUACACAUAAUCACAAAUGCAUUCCUUGUAGGCAAUACAUUCCUUCGUUUUGCAUCUUACGCAACCACAGAGCAAUUAAACUUGCAUGUGCGUGGGGCACUGAAAUCAUUUUUGGCAUACUUACCAGGACUCAGGAUGCUGGGCUCGUUAAUGGGAAUGAGGUUGUCUGGAAGAUAAGCUUACUAGUGUCGUGGCAGUUACAGCACAGACUGGCUGGACCUCUUCCAGUUUCCAGAGGCCGUCAGAGGAAACUGCGUGUCCUUGGGGGACUGUGCUCUAUCCCAGAGGGUCAACUCUGCUGGUCUUAGCAACUGGACUCUGGGAGGGUAGCUCAAGAGGACUGCCUUGAGGAGCAUGGGUCAAAAUUCACUGGGAAACCAAUCAUUAAUAAGCAAAAUGUUGACACUUCCUUCCCUUAUCAGGAAUUCCUAGGUCUACUGUGGGUAAAGACAGAACCAGGAAAUUAAGCUCAAGCUGCAGGAGAUGAGAAAAAAACAGCUUUAAGGGUAUUUUAAAGCUGCUCCUAGGACUUUGACUUUAGCUCAUUACAUCUCAGGGUUCAUUCCAUCAUUCAUGCAAACUCUUGAGUGCCCUUCCUGAACUAGGCCCUAUGGCCAAACACAAUCAGUUCAGUAAACAGCCAUCUUCUUGGGAUGGCUGGUAAAUCUGUACUAUCAAAAUUCUUCUUUUUUUCUCUACUUAUACAUUUCCCACCUUCGCUGCAAAUGUGAAAGCCUUCCACUUAAUUUGAAGCAGAAUUCAAUACAACAAGACCAUGAGGAACAUAAAGCAGUGAGACAGAAAAAUAUUCCUGAUAAAUAAAAAUAACAUGAAAGAAGUAAAACCACA